CUAUUUACUUGAUGUAAACAUUGGAUGAAGCUUUUUACUUUAUAAAGUGAUCAGACAAUUCAACAUCUCUUAUAUGCAAAGUUAAAAAAAAAUGGCUGAAAUUCUCAAAUUUGUUUAUAUUGCGAUCCUUUUUGUUUCUUUGUAUCUUGUUGAUCUAGGGUGUGUCACUGAUGCUGAUUGCAAGGAUAAAUUUCCUGGCAAUAAAUAUCCUAUAAAGUGCAUCAACGGUAUAUGUAAGUCCGUGCCCAACUAAGGUUAUCCUCAUAACAAGAUUGAGGAGCGAUAUCAAUGUGCUUAUGUAUGAGAAUAAAGUUUAUAUUUAUUAUCUCACCUAUAUUAUAUUUUUAUUUAAAGUUUGUUUGAUUAUUGUUUAUGUUUAAAUUAGGUUCUAGUCUUUGAUAUUGUGACAUCGGUACCAAGUUUAAUAAUUUGAUUUUGACUUAUUAUCUUGGAAACUAAGAAAACAUUACAUAUUUUAUUUUAUUUUGAGAUAA